AUUGAACGCUGGCGGCAUGCCUUACACAUGCAAGUCGAACGGCAGCACGGGAGCAAUCCUGGUGGCGAGUGGCGAACGGGUGAGUAAUAUAUCGGAACGUGCCCGGUCGUGGGGAUAACGUAGCGAAAGCUACGCUAAUACCGCAUACGAUCUACGGAUGAAAGCGGGGGAUCGCAAGACCUCGCGCGAUUGGAGCGGCCGAUAUCAGAUUAGGUAGUUGGUGAGGUAAAGGCUCACCAAGCCGACGAUCUGUAGCUGGUCUGAGAGGACGACCAGCCACACUGGGACUGAGACACGGCCCAGACUCCUACGGGAGGCAGCAGUGGGGAAUUUUGGACAAUGGGCGCAAGCCUGAUCCAGCAAUGCCGCGUGCAGGAUGAAGGCCUCGGUUGUAACUG
rnacentral:rRNA from 1 species